rnacentral:lncRNA from 1 species
UAAUUAGAGUUCUCACAGAGCUAAUGAAAUCCCUAUAUCGGUCACCUUUGCUGUUACAGAUGUGAAGAGACUACAGAGAACAGAGUUCUCUCUUUAAUGAUUUUAGAGAUAAUUUAUCAUUAAAAUCUCUCUAAGUCCCACCUAGAAUUUUGAGCUGGAGUSUAAAAUAAAUUUUCAUUCUUUCUUAAAACCCAACCAAUUCUUUUACCACAGUAAAGGGUUUUUUUUUUCUUUUUUUCUUUUUUUUGAGAAUUUGGCAUAAGAUUAGCAGAUAAUUGGAUUAAAACCAAAUUUAAAGGACUGCUACUGGAUAAACAGUAAACAUUAGACUUGCUGAAAUAUUCCAGCUUGUGUUUUUGUGUUUUCCUAAAAAAUAUCUAUCAAUGAAUAGAUUUUUUUUUUUUUUAAUAGGCAAUUUCCAUAUAAACUUUCAACUAACUAGGAAAAAGAAUGACAUCCCAUGAAACAAAUUAUUUGGACCAAGCAUCCAAUUUUUGUCACUCUGACUUUCUGAUGCCAAGACACCUCAUGGAUUCAGCAAAUCUGGUACUUCAUUUUUUUGAUCUGUCAUCUUGGCUGGACUCCCAGUUCGCUGGCAUGUGCCCUCAUGCACAGAGACUCCCCAUCAAGCAGCUGGAUUCUUGGCCUCCGUGUGACAGAGCUGCUGAAGUUCUCAUCAGAUAUCUGAGACUCUACUUACACACAAGUGGAAAUCACACUACCGACUUUGGAAAGAAAGUGACCCCUUCCCCCUGCCACAUAUCCAAGGGGUGCUAAAGGACUGUCCUCUUAGCAUCUUAUGAUCGUGCAACCUAAAUGCCUCCUAUGGCCUGUAAGUCGAUAAAGARAUGUUUCAGGCUGCCUUUUUCAUAAACUUUUUGGUCAUGUUGGAACACUAGUUUGGCCAUAUUCCAUCAAAGCAGUAUUCUCUUAAAUGUUGUGUUUACACAACAUACAGUAGUACAUAGAAAUUUGUAUCAUAAUAUGCUGCUACUCCACAUGUGCUGGGUGUGCUGGUGCCGCUGUCAUGGACUCAGUGUAAUACUGUGUUUUAGCUUUAAAACACAGUGUAGUUCGACACCUCACUAGCUUAAAUACUCUUGGUUUUUAGAGCAAGGAAACGAUCUGAUUUCUUGAAAUAACUUCAAGCCAAGGAAACUGCUGUGUUGGUUGGCAUCACUGUCAGGUUGGACUGAGUUAUUUUUCAUUUCCAUAAAUUAGAGGAAUGGAGGUACUCAGUAUACUCAUCU